UACGUAGGGGGCUAGCGUUGUCCGGAAUCAUUGGGCGUAAAGAGCGUGUAGGCUGCUCGGUAAGUCCGCUGUAAAAGUCAAAGGCUCAACCUUUGAAUGUCAGUGGAUACUGCCGGGCUAGAGUCCGGAAGAGGCGAGUGGAACUCCCGGUGUAGUGGUGGAAUGCGUAGAUAUCAUUUGGAACGCCAAUGGUGAAAACAGCUCGCUGGGGGUUUGCUGACGCUGAGACGACGAAAGCCAGGGGAGCAAACGGG
rnacentral:rRNA from 1 species